rnacentral:rRNA from 1 species
UACAGAGGGGGCAAGCGUUGUUCGGAAUUACUGGGCGUAAAGGGCGCGUAGGCGGCCUGCUAAGUCGAACGUGAAAUCCCUGGGCUCAACCCAGGAACUGCGUCCGAUACUGGUUGGCUUGAAUCCGGGAGAGGGAUGCGGAAUUCCAGGUGUAGCGGUGAAAUGCGUAGAUAUCAGGAGGAACACCAAUGGCGAAGGCAGCUCACUGGGACGGUAUUGACGCUGAGACGCGAAAGCGUGGGGAGCAAACAGG